rfam:Oryza barthii chromosome 4, whole genome shotgun sequence.
AAUAAAUACAGUUUUACACUAUUCACAUCCAACGUGUGACCGUUUGUUUUAUUUAAAAUUUUUCUAUGAUUAGUAUUUUUAUUGUUAGUAGAUGAUAAAAUAUAAAUAGUAUUUUAUGUGCGACUAAAUUUUUUAAAUAUUUUCAUAAAAUUUUAAAUAAGACGGACGAUCAAACGUUGGACGGUCAAAUGGAUUUCCACAGCUGCACUUAUU